GUAUCUUCUCAAGGAUCACCAAUGAUUUUUUUGUUUUGUUUUGGUUUUGUUUGUUUUUUGUUUUUGUUUUUUAUAAACAGGGUUGGAUUAUCUGCAGAUAGAAAUGACACUGGUCUUUAGCACAGCUUUUGAAAGCCAGCAGAGAUUGUCACUGGACUGACGUGAGAACUUUGACCAUGAUCACAGUACAAAAUGAGCCCACAACAAGCAGGUCAUUCUCCUGAUGAUCUCUCUCCCACAUCUUUCUGUUACAGCUAAGCAUCCUUUAAAGAAGGCUUCGAAACUGGUCCAGGUGGGAUGCUUCCAAACUCUGACAAUUCAAUUAUGAAAAUCCAAGACAGCAGCCAAGCUCUGGACGGAAAGGCAAGGGGCUUCACAAAGACAUAUCACUAUUAAAGGUCUCCUGGGCUGAAUCAGCCUCUACCUCCUCUUCUGGCAUAUGUCCCAUGAAUAUCUGAUCAUUUCAACAAAUGAGCAGCAUAAAUUCAAAACAAAAGCAAGCAGGACUGAUUUUAACAUUCGAGGUGGUUCCCAUUCCUUGACCACUGGAUCAAUCAGCACCUUCACAUGACAUAGGAUGCUCCUUGCAGAACUGACCUGGCAGGGAUGGGAACAAUACUUCAGGAUUAAGUCAGCAGCCUAGCAGAGGCACUUCCCACCGCUGGCAGAGACCCAGGCCUCCACUCAUA